ACAUAAAUGUCUUGAACCACUGGCUACAACAGGUCCAUGAAAACACCUGUACUCCCUUUUAGGUGACAUUGUAAAUAAGAAGCAGACAGCAUUAUCUCCUGUAAAUGUAAACAAACUUGUUUGUCUUAGCAAUUGGCCAAACAAGAG